UAAAAAUCAGCUGUUUACAAUUAAGAUGACAUUUUCCUGCCAUCCCUUCAUCCAAACUCUCACCCAAUCAGUGGAGGCAGACGGCCGCCUUCCCUGAGCCUGGUUCUGUCAGAGGGUUUUAUUAAUCCUCUAUCUGAGGAGUUUGUUUCCAUCGCCAUUCAUAGAGAAUCCAAAAGCAUCUUUGGAUUGUUGUUGAUUCUGUUCAUAAUUCAUACAGUCUGUAUCUUACUAUGCUAGGUGUUGUUAGAUGACAUGUUGUCAAUCUGCACCAUAUAAAUAAAACUGAACUGUAAAUGUCCUCAGUUAUAACUGCUAAUAGUCAGAAUUACAUUUGGUAUUUCCUGUUAAUAUCUACAACAAAAGGUCUGAAGUAGAACGAGGUUCUCCCAGAUGUGACCAACAAACCUGUCAGCUGCUGACUGUUUCACUCACCAACAAAAAGCUCAAUGUAGAAUCUUUGUUCCUGAAGAAGUGGGAAAUAGCAGGAGUAGUUUCCACUGUCAGACAGUCGUAUGUUUCUGAUGAGGAUGGAGGCGUUGCCAUUUUUCAGUUUGUCUGGAAAAUGAGACACUCGUCCUUUGAACUGUGGGUCUACACUCCGA